rnacentral:lncRNA from 1 species
CUUUGCUAGCUUUUUGGACGUUUCAUAAAAAGUCUCAUUCACCCAUUGUUUUGUGAUUCCAACCUGUUCCACUAUGUUCUCCUGUUGUUCCGUAUCCAUGUAGUCUUCAUCCUUCUCCUGAAAUGCAUCAUAUUUGUUUGUGGUUGUGACCCCCACUUUGUUCCAGACCUGAUUUGUCUUCUUCUUCAUACGACCCCUUUUUUCUUGCCAUUUCUCGUGGAAUUUGUCGUUAUAGCCUUCCACUCUUCUUUCUAUCCCCACACUUUCCCUUUUUUCCAUUGUGCCCCCUAGUUCUGUCC